rnacentral:rRNA from 1 species
GUCUAUGGUCAUACCACCUUGAAUGUACCUGAUCUUGUCUGAUCUUGGAAGCUAAGCAGGAUCGGUCCUGGCUCGUAUUUGGGUGGGAGAAUGGUGACAGCCUGGAAAACUCUACUCA